GGGAAGGUGGCUCAGUGGUAGAGCGCUUGCCUUGCAUUCAUGAGGUCCUGGGUUCAAUUCCUCACCACCACA
rfam:Dipodomys ordii contig_8581, whole genome shotgun sequence.